CACGAACGCUGGCGGCAGGCUUAACACAUGCAAGUCGAGCGCCCCGCAAGGGGAGCGGCAGACGGGUGAGUAACGCGUGGGAAUCCACCCAUCUCUACGGAAUAACGCAUGGAAACGGGUGCUAAAACCGGAUACGUCCUACGGGGGAAAGAUUUAUCGGAGAUGGAUGAGCCCGCGUUGGAUUAGCUAGUUGGUGGGGUAAAGGCCUACCAAGGCGACGAUCCAUAGCUGGUCUGAGAGGAUGAUCAGCCACACUGGGACUGAGACACGGCUCAGACUUCUACGGGAGGCAGCAGUGGGGAAUAUUGGACAAUGGGCGCAAGCCUGAUCCAGCCAUGCCGCGUGAGUGAUGAAGGCCCUAGGGUUGUAAAGCUCUUUCACCGGUGAAGAUAAUGACGGUAACCGGAGAAGAAGCCCCGGCUAACUUCGUGCCAGCCGCCGCCGUAACAC
rnacentral:rRNA from 1 species